rnacentral:rRNA from 1 species
UACGUAGGGUGCGAGCGUUGUCCGGAAUUAUUGGGCGUAAAGAGCUCGUAGGCGGUGUGUCACGUCGUUCGUGAAAACCUGCAGCUUAACUGUGGGCGUGCGGUCGAUACGGGCAUCACUGGAGUUCGGCAGGGGAGACUGGAAUUCCUGGUGUAGCGGUGAAAUGCGUAGAUAUCAGGAGGAACACCGGCGGCGAAGGCGGCCCUCUGGAUCGUUGCUGACGCUGAGACGCGAAAGCGUGGGGAGCAAACAGG